UACGGAGGAUGCGAGCGUUAUCCGGAUUUAUUCGGUUUAAAGGGUGUGUAGGCGGACGAUUAAGUCAGUGGUGAAAUCUCAGAGCUUAACUCUGAAACUGCCAUAGAUACUGGUUGUCUUGAGUACAGUUGAAGUAGGCGGAAUGUGUAAUGUAGCGGUGAAAUGCUUAGAUAUUACACAGAACACCGAUUGCGAAGGCAGCUUGCUAAGCUGUUACUGACGCUGAUGCACGAAAGCGUGGGGAGCGAACAGG
rnacentral:rRNA from 1 species